CAGAAGUACAGCUUACAUUGAUUUUAGUCAAGUCCUUAGUAACUCAAAUUAAUAUAAUAUAACCCACUGCUUAGGAAAAAAGAAAAAAAAAAGUAAACCAUUGCACUUUUCGUGGGGAGAUGAUCCUCAAGACUAGGAUACUAGGAUUUUCAGAGUUGUCCUCUAAGCAAGCCAUUUCUUUUGGGGGCAGGUGGAGAUAAUCAGUGUCAUGGAAAGUGAGGCCUAAUUAGCCUCUUCUUAUAAAGCUGGGAUUUCUUCACAGUUGUGGUAGACCAGAAAUCUCUAGUAGCCUGGAAAAUGCCUUGGGAGACUCAGAAGUUUUUUCUCAUGCCUGAUGUCAGUUUUGAAGCUGGAGUGAAGCCAGCAGUUUCUGUCUUUACAUAGGUAUUAGUGUAUGUUACAGCAGAACUAUUUUUCAGUGUUGUAAUUACAGUUUGAGUCUGGUUUCUUACCUAAACUAUUAUGAGGAGUAAAUGCAUACAGGACAUGCUUCCUGCAGAACUAAGCUGAAUCUGUCAAACAAUUUAGAAGAGGAAAGUGGCCAAGGUGGAUUACUGGGAGAGACUUAAGAAGCACAAGCGUGGAGGAUAGACAAGAAGAUCCAGAAGGUUGUUCCAAGCUGCUGAUGCAGCAGAUAAACGGACACUUUCCAGGGAAGAAAAGAUAGUGACUGGGAGUUUCAGUUCUGUUAGAUCCACGUCUUGGGAUGUGCCAUCAUGCUCCAGCCUGAGCUCAGGCAUUGCUAAAUUAUGAAAUUCAUAAUCCAGCCCUCAGGGUAAAUCAGCUGCACUGCGUCUUUCAAGAGAUACUGCAGCAGCUCAGGCAGCCAAAGAAUUCAAAACAACAUGUUCAACAUCAGUGGUCUCAGUGAAAAAUGAAAAUCUCCUCACCAAAGAACUUAGAUUAUGCAGAAACAGACUUUUUUUUUGUGUGUGUGUGUUUCAAAAAAAUGCUGAUGAAAAUUCCCUAUUGCUUUUGUGAGGAGGAAAGUUGUCAAAAGGCUAGAAAAGAGAAUGAUGUCAAUAUAUUAAUGGUGUGAUUUGUGACUAGUCUGGAUUGCACUGUAGAUUUUCUGAUUCUUUGUGGUGAUGUGCCCUAAUGUGUCAGGGGCAGUGACAGAAGUGGAGUGGUAUUUUCCCCAUUCUGCCAAGUACAGUACUAUUGCCUUGCUAGAGAAUUUUUACUGCAGGUCCUGAGGAAAAGAGAUUUUGUGACAUUCUGUAGUUUUCUGUUAAGAAGGAGCCCUAGAUUUUGCUGUAAAUUUAAAUUUCACCUCUGUUUCUCUGGACAUUUUAACUACUCCUGCCUCACCUGCCACAAACUCCUCUAGGCAGUCCAGUUUCAACUCAAAGUCUAAUGCAUUCCAGAUUGCUCAGAAGCAAAAGUGCAAACCAGAUCCUUGGAAACCUUUGUGAUCCCAGUGGAUGUCAUGGACAGAGUCCAACUCUACCUCUGCUGAGACACCAAAUUUCAGACUUUGUUCAUAUUCUGUCUAAGUGCAUUUUAGACCACAGCAAAUCAGAAGGCUUAUAAAUCAUUACUUAGCACUGGGGAAUAUCUGAUGGCUUGAGCACUCACAAUCUUGCGGAAUCUGGAAAGAAACACUGUGAAUGAAAAGCUAUUUUUAUAUGGAAAGGAAAAACACUGUGAUAUACAAUAAUUACUUGUGAAUCAUGUAAUUGGCAGUUUGUAAGCAAAAUAAAAGGCAUGCUAUUUUGUUAA